rnacentral:rRNA from 1 species
AGAACGAACGCUGGCGGCAUGCCUAAUACAUGCAAGUCGAACGAAGGCUUCGGCCUUAGUGGCGCACGGGUGCGUAACGCGUGGGAAUCUGCCCCUUGGUUCGGAAUAACAGUUGGAAACGACUGCUAAUACCGGAUGAUGACGAAAGUCCAAAGAUUUAUCGCCAAGGGAUGAGCCCGCGUAGGAUUAGCUAGUUGGUGAGGUAAAGGCUCACCAAGGCGACGAUCCUUAGCUGGUCUGAGAGGAUGAUCAGCCACACUGGGACUGAGACACGGCCCAGACUCCUACGGGAGCAGCAGUAGGAAUAGUGGACAAUGAAGCGAAAGCCUGAUCCAGCAAUGCCGCGUGAGUGAUGGAAGGUCC